UCGGUUCAGUUCCAGUCG
rnacentral:misc_RNA from 1 species